rnacentral:rRNA from 1 species
GUAGGGGGCAAGCGUUGUCCGGAUUUAUUGGGCGUAAAGGGCUCGUAGGCGGCUUGGUAAGUCGGGUGUGAAAACUCCGAGCUCAACUCGGAGACGCCAUCUGAUACUGCCAUGGCUAGAGUCCGGUAGGGGAGCGCAGAAUUCCUGGUGUAGCGGUGAAAUGCACAGAUAUCAGGAGGAAUACCGAUGGCGAAGGCAGCGCUCUGGGCCGGUACUGACGCUGAGGAGCGAAAGCGUGGGUAGCGAACAGGAUUAGAUACCCUGGUAGUCCACGCCGUAAACGUUGGGGACUAGGUGUGGGGAUCUGUCAACGAUCUCCGUGCCGUAGCUAACGCAUUAAGUUCCCCGCCUGGGGAGUACGGCCGCCCGGCUA